CCUACGGGGCGCUGCAGUGGGGAAUAUUGGACAAUGGGCGAAAGCCUGAUCCAGCCAUGCCGCGUGUGUGAAGAAGGCCUUCGGGUUGUAAAGCACUUUCAGUGGGGAAGAAAGCCUUGGGGCUAAUACCCUCGAGGAAGGACAUCACCCACAGAAGAAGCACCGGCUAACUCCGUGCCAGCAGCCGCGGUAAUACGGAGGGUGCGAGCGUUAAUCGGAAUUACUGGGCGUAAAGCGCGCGUAGGCGGUCUGAUAAGCCGGUUGUGAAAGCCCCGGGCUCAACCUGGGAACGGCAUCCGGAACUGUCAGGCUAGAGUGCAGGAGAGGAAGGUAGAGUUCCCGGUGUAGCGGUGAAAUGCGUAGAGAUCGGGAGGAAUACCAGUGGCGAAGGCGGCCUUCUGGACUGACACUGACGCUGAGGUGCGAAAGCGUGGGUAGCAAACAGGAUUAGAUACCCCAGUAGUC
rnacentral:rRNA from 1 species